UGGCUAAAUAUGAAACAAACAGGAUUAUUGCCAUACUUUAGUGAAUACCUGGGGAAAAGAGAUGAUAUUUUCAAAACCCGGAUGUUCCUGGAAGCUCGCCUAGCAAGAUGCGGGCAGGAUAGGGAAACCGUCCUGCACGCUAUUGUUCAGUGUCCGGGAGUGUCUGAAGUGUGGGCUGUCAGGUUCGGGAAGAGUACAGCUGUCGUCUGAGUCAAUCGUAAAAAUUGACCCUCCGGAUUUCCUCACGAAAGAAGGUUCUGCCAGCAUUUUAAAGUCUCUCAAACAAAAUGUGGACUUAAACCAAUCAGCCAAAACUUGAUGUCUCCAUACCAGCAAGUGACCAGUGUCCAGUACUCCCCCCUUCAGGAAUACUUUGAAUGUCGGCUUUGUACUUUUUCAGUAAAAGGAAUGUGUUACAUCCAAUCCAUUCUUUAGGUGCUGAAAUACUGUUAAUUUUUAUUUUAUGAGAAUUCCGUGAAAAGUAAUGUCUCGCUUUUGAGAGUUCUAGAUUUGUUGUGUCCUUGCUCAACCAUUCCUCCUGCCCCCAAUUUAUGGUAGGAAAACGGAUGACGGGGAGAAACGUCAAUCAAAUUACUAUUCCAGCUUUUAUCAAGAACUUGGAAUGUUGAAAAAGCUGAGUUGGUCUUAAUUAAUCGGAUAUUUCUGAAAUUUGCUUCAAAACUAGCUCUGGGUUUAUUCCCAUCAAAUACACAUGGAAUUUGCCUUACGCCAUAACCUUUGGUCAACCAAAGUAUUGAGUGAAAUGUUUAGACAGAAAUCUGCCAGAGGAAUAGUUCUUAUUUUUGGAAUAACAUUUAAUCAAUUGCUUCGUCUUUCUCUUGGAUACUGUUUUGUGGAACUCGUUUUGCAAGAAUCAGUCAGGUUUCGAACUUGAAAAUAACUUGAAACUCAAAGGAUUUAUUGGUACUAUAUUUCAUGAGACUAUUAGAAACAUUUUCUACACAAAAAAAAAAAAAAGGAUUUAACAUGUUUGAUGUAUUUGUAUGGACAUUAAUGUCUCAUAUUCCAAACAAAAUGUUGAAUGUUCUUAUGCUCUGACUUCUUGACUUCGGUUAAUUUCUUUUACUACUCUCCAUUGACAGGUAAUCUAUGCAACAUGUCUACCCUGGAGUAAUUUGCUCUUCCGUACAUGAGUGUUUAUUUUAACUCGGUUCCCAGUUGUAAACUCUUAGCCUCAGUUAUUGUCACCUGUUAAUCCAUUUGUGGUAUCCUUCAUUUGAACCCUAUCACACCUGGGCACCUGUGUCUAAGCUUGCUCUCCACCUGGGCCCCCAAGCAAAAAACAAAACAAGACAAUAGUUGCAUUUACAGCUCAGGAAUAACGAUUGCAGGCAAACUAACACGGAAUUGGUUGCAUC